AUACGGAGGAUGCGAGCGUUAUCCGGAUUUAUUGGGUUUAAAGGGUGCGUAGGCGGUCGGGUAAGCGUAGGGUGAAAGUCCUCUGCUCAACAGAGGAAGUGCCUUCCGAACUGUCCGACUGGAAUGCUCCUGCCGUGGGAGGAAUGUGUGGUGUAGCGGUGAAAUGCAUAGAGAUCACACAGAACACCGAUUGCGAAGGCAUCUCACGAAGGGGCUAUUGACGCUGAGGCACGAAAGCGUGGGGAUCAAACAGGAUUAGAUACCCUGGUAGUCCACGCAGUAAACGAUGAUGACUAACCGUCGGUCAAGACUGAUCGGUGGCCAAGCGAAAGCGAUAAGUCAUCCACCUGGGGAGUACGACCGCAAGGUUGAAACUCAAAUGAAUUGACGGG
rnacentral:rRNA from 1 species